UGGGGGAUAUUGCACAAUGGGCGAAAGCCUGAUGCAGCAACGCCGCGUGAGGGAAGACGGUUUUCGGAUUGUAAACCUCUGUCUUUGGUGAAGAAAGAAAUGACGGUAGCCGAGGAGGAAGCCACGGCUAACUACGUGCCAGCAGCCGCGGUAAUACGUAGGUGGCAAGCGUUGUCCGGAAUUACUGGGUGUAAAGGGAGCGCAGGCGGGAGAGCAAGUCAGCUGUGAAAACUAUGGGCUUAACCCAUAAACUGCAGUUGAAACUGUUUUUCUUGAGUGGAGUAGAGGUAGGCGGAAUUCCGAGUGUAGCGGUGAAAUGCGUAGAUAUUCGGAGGAACACCAGUGGCGAAGGCGGCCUACUGGGCUCUAACUGACACUGAGACGCGAAAGCUAGGGUAGCAAACG
rnacentral:rRNA from 1 species